rnacentral:rRNA from 1 species
GAUGAACGCUGGCGGCGUGCCUAAUACAUGCAAGUCGAGCGAACAGACGGGGAGCUUGCUCCUCUGACGUUCGCGGCGGACGGGUGAGUAACACGUGGAUAACCUACCUAUAAGACUGGGAUAACUUCGGGAAACCUGAGCUAAUACCGGAUCAUAUAUUGCACCGCAUGGUUCGAUAGUGAAAGACGGUUUUGCUGUCCCUUAUAGAUGGAUCCGCGCCGCAUUAGCUAGUUGGUAAGGUAACGGCUUACCAAGGCAACGAUGCGUAGCCGACCUGAGAGGGGGCUCGGCCACACUGGAACUGAGACACGGUCCAGACUCCUACGGGAGGCAGCAGUGGGGAAUCUUCCGCAAGGGGCGAAAGCCGGACGGAGCAACGCCGCGUGGGUGAUGAAGGUCUUCGGAUCGUAAAACUCUUUUAUUAGGGAAGAACAAAUUGGGAAUUAACUAUGCACGUCUUGACGGUACCUAAUCAGAAAGCCACGGCUAACUACGUG